rnacentral:lncRNA from 1 species
GACACAUUGCAGUAUGCUGUAUUGAAAGUGGGAAUAUAGUUUUAAAAACCCUUUGAACAAAGUGUGUGCAUAACCAGUCAUGAGAUAAAACAACACAAUGCAUGUUGCCUUUUUAAUGUAAAUACCCUUAGGUAUCAUUAAUAGUUUCAAAAUAUUGUGGUUUAGUAAAGUUGAUACCUGGUUAUAAAUAUUAUGCCUUUAUUUUUGGCUAGAAGAAUAAUUAUUUUUAGCCUAGAUUUAAC